GAGGUCGCGGGACGCAAGCGGAAGGGACGCGUACGGUUUCGCAGGCUCUUGGAAUGCGCAAUUCACGUUAUAUAUAGUCACAAAAGAAGCAAGAAAAACGAGUUACAACAGUCACAGGAUAUGGUUUAACGCUACAAAACAACACGUAAGCUAUAAAAUACGUGGUAGGACGGUGCUGCGAAUUAAUUUUGACCAACUAGGGUUCAUUGAAGUGCACUUUGAUCCUGUUUCCCUCUAGCUCAUAAGCAACAACAAAUAAACAUGAUCUAAGUGUAUACCUGACUGUUUCAUCCUCCCCGUCAGUAUGCGGCCGCGGCGAUCUACGAACUAUGGACAGUUUAUAGGAAUUGGUUUACGGUAAAGCUGUUAAUGGGAGUUGCGCAGCCAUUUUUAUGCAGCGGUGAAGACGGUAUCAAAUGUCAAUCAAAGAGCAGCCAGUAACGCAACCUGCGUCACUGUGGCGAAUUCUCGCUUUGAAAAGCAGUUAUCAAUGAUCAUAAAAUAAAACAAAAGAUUGGGAGACGCUUAAGCUUCGCCUUUAACCUCUUCUAUAGCCUGUUGAUGCGAUUUCGCGACAUGCCGAAUAUCAGCUGAUAAGCACAAACGAGACGCUUAACGAGAGAAAUCCUGAUUUUGACGUCAGGCGUUGUUAACCAGAAAAAAAAAAUGCUUCAACGUUUCGCCAUCUCUGACUCCAAAACAACAACAACAACAACAACAACAAC